CGGGAUGUAGCCUAGAGGCUAAGGCGCCUGCUUUGGGAGCAGGAAAUCGGAGGUUCGACUCCUCUCAUCCCGA
rnacentral:tRNA from 1 species